rnacentral:rRNA from 1 species
UACGUAGGGUGCAAGCGUUGUCCGGAAUUAUUGGGCGUAAAGAGCUCGUAGGCGGUCUGUCGCGUCGGCUGUGAAAUCCCGGGGCUCAACCCCGGGCCUGCAGUCGAUACGGGCAGACUAGAGUGCGGUAGGGGAGACUGGAAUUCCUGGUGUAGCGGUGAAAUGCGCAGAUAUCAGGAGGAACACCGGUGGCGAAGGCGGGUCUCUGGGCCGUAACUGACGCUCAUGCAUGACAGCGUGGGGAUAAAACAGG